GCGGUAGUAGCUCAGUUGGCUAGAGCGUCUCCUUGCCAAGGAGAAGGUCGCCGGUUCGAAUCCGGUCUACCGCU
rnacentral:tRNA from 1 species